UGGCGAACGGGUGAGUAACGCGUGGGUAAUCUGCCCUGCACUCUGGGAUAAGCCUGGGAAACUGGGUCUAAUACUGGAUAUGACCUUUCUCCUUAUGGGGUUUGGUGGAAAGUUUUUCGGUGUAGGAUGAGCCCGCGGCCUAUCAGCUUGUUGGUGGGGUGAUGGCCUACCAAGGCGACGACGGGUAGCCGGCCUGAGAGGGUGAUCGGCCACAUUGGGACUGAGAUACGGCCCAG
rnacentral:rRNA from 1 species